rnacentral:lncRNA from 1 species
UUUUACUAAAUACAUACAAAUAGGCUGGUUAUGCAGUCCCGUGAAAAUGUGUAUAUAAUUAGUAUGUCAUAGUAAUUCUCUAUUCAAAAAUUUUCAUUUUUCCGAGGAAAAUGAUGGCUAAAGUGGGGGAAGAGAAAGAAGAGCAGAAAAAUGUAUGGCUUGAUUAUGUAAGCCUUGAUUUUUCUGAUAAUCAGUGCUCAUUUACGAAAGAAAAAAAGCAAGUGCAGACUGAAAUGUCAAAUUCAUUGUAUUAAAAAUCGUGUUUCUAAUUCAGCUUCCAGGUACUUAAAAGCAAAUAGGCUGACAAUUCUGUCUAUUUGAUUACAAAUAACAAAAAUGCUCGACUACAGCUACUACAUCGUAGUAUGCUGCAGUAUAUCGUGCAGCCCUCAUCAUUUCUCAGAAAUAACAUACGUAAACAUAGCUGGAACAGUUUAGCGAAUUAAUACAUACAUUUUCGUUUGGGAAAAAAGAUCAUUUUACUUCAGUCAGCAGAAGGUAUUUGUAACCAUAACAUGCUUCCCUUUUUGGGGAAGGAGCGCAGAAUUUUUGAGGGAACAGAGACAGAAAUGAACUUUAAAAGGGGAAAAUAUGUUAAAAGAGACAGAAACUUACAGGAACUAAGAAUGAGUUUGAUAUGAUGAAUUUUUCAAGAUCCCCCUUUUAAAGUAAUUUUAUUUCUGGGCCUCCUCAUUUGUGUUCCACUCUGUUAAAUAUUUUUUUUGAGAUAGUCUGGUAAUUGUAAGUAUUACAUUUGUGCUCAUCUCAUGCGUUUUCACUAAGUUUUAUUUCUAAAGUUACGUCGUAAACUUGGGAAAUACUGUACAAGCAGCAUACACCAUUUUGGUAUCAGACGUUAUCACGUCGGCAUUUCAUGCUUACCCUCCAACAGCAUAAGCACCCUUUAUCAUCUAUGGAAUUCUGACAUUUAUGGUAAAAUAUUUGUACUCAGUACACAAAGGGAUUUUGAAACUUAAGUAACUGUGUUACACAGCAAUUUAAUUCCAAUACAUUUUGCUUCUUACUACUGAAUUAAGAUUGCAAAAACAGUCUGACUUUCUUGUGUCCGACCGGUAACAUUCCCUUGCAUUUUCAAACCACGGUUUAAACCGAACCCACUCAGACUCUUUGGAUAGAAACUUCAUAUCAGACAAAAAUUACUCUUUAGCACGUUUGAUGAAUCCAGCUUAAAACCAAACACAGAACUGCAUGAACAUCUGCGACAAACGACUCGCCUCGGCCAUUCUCUUCUUUCUUAUUUAAUCUCCCACUGGAGUACAGUUUAGUUGGUUUGCUAUUUUAUAGUGCAGAUCUCUCCCUCACCAACCUACUGCUUGCAAAAAAGAACUUUAAAAAUUUCCAUGUGUGAGAACAAAACCUGAGCAGAAUAGGGCUGCACCUUUUAAAAUGGGUACUAGCAGGGGAAGGGAAAGCAACGAACAAGCUAGCACUCCAAAUUUCCAGGAGUAACAAAAAGGGGGAAAAAAAUAUAGGAAAAAUGAAACUGAGGACUGUUAAACUAAUAGAUCAGUUACUAGAAUAUGAAACAGAACCGUCCUUUCCUGGUGAUGCUUCACUGACUUGCUGCUUGCAUACCCACACGAGUAUAAACUGAGAGCAAAAUUUUUCUUAAUGUAGGCAGUAUUACGAAUGUUGAGAUAUUCCUGUUUCAGUAUCUUUAAAUCUGAGGCCUUGUUAAAGAAGACGCUACUUGGAAAGAUCUCUGAGAUACCGGCAAACCCUGCUUGGUUUCUCCUGAUUUUCUUCCACAAAUGAUCUGUUUGAUAGACGGGGGAAAAAUAAAAGAGCAAAUAGCAGGCAAAGCACCUUUAAAGUGCUUGUUGUUACUUUUGUGCCUUUUACAAAAAGACGAGGAAAAUUCCACUUCCCAAGUAAAGAAAUACAGAGCAGUGUAACAUCAUAGCUUUAGAAACUAUUCUUUCUGUUUUUCACACAUCACCUCAAUUUCACCCGAAUGCUGCUUAUACUGCGUAACACAGAUUUUACUUUACAUAAUAUCGCUUAGUGCCUAUAUGGAUUAUUUGUUACCUAAUAACUGUUAGAUUGGUCGUGAAUUUUUACUGUGCUAGGUGUUUUUCAGAACAUAGUUACAUGUCUGCAUUUUUUUGGACAAACUUUCAAAAUAUUACUGUAUUCUGGUCUAUUUCACCAUGAUUUAACACUGCAGGAGUGCAUCCAGAUAUUCAUAACACAAUACGCUUGUAGGCACAACUAAACAAAAAGCAGAUUAGCUUGUGAUGUAGUGGAAUGAGUGGGACUUUCUUCUAAUGGAGAAAAACCUGUUUGCUCAUAAUAAUUCCAUUUAUAGCUGAGAAAGGGAGCAAAGCACCUGGAACUGAGUCAGUGUGAAUUCCAGCAAUGCAAUGAGCUUCACAAAAGCUGUGGUUACCUUGUUUUUUAACUAACCACACUGAGCUGACAGCUAUUAACAGUAGCAAGGACUUGCAUAACGAGGACUUGAAGGAAAGCUUAGCACUAUCCAUGCCAGAGCGAUUUAAAGAGAAUGAAGGCACGUAUUUCUUUAUGAUGCAUUAUGUAACAACAUAGAGGGCAAUCUGAGACAUUUAAAAAGAUACGGGGACCCACAUAUAAUUUUACACUUGUUAUUUUAGAGUGCUUAUAACCCAAUGCUUAUGAAACACCUAACUUAGGAAUGUGAUCCUGUAAAAUGAGUUUAAAAUGUUUUUGAAGACGUGUUUUACGUUUUGUACGUGCUUAGAAAAGCAUAGUAGGUCCUACAAUUCAUUUUCUUCAAAAUUCUGCAAUGUAUGCAAUCUCAGAUAAAAUUGUCAAAAUCUAGGAUAGCUGGACCUUCUGGUUCACAUUAGUGUGAAGAGAAAACUGCUGUUGAGCUGACACGUUGAUAGAUUAUGAGUUCUGCUGAAGAAUAGCUAAAAAUGGUGAUUCAAUCUUGUCGCUACUAUAUAAAAAAAAUAACAGAAGUGGAGAUGUUACUCAUGAUAUCGUGUCUUUCAUCAAAACCCUAAAGGGUUCUGGUGCAUUGAACACGUUUUCCUUCUGAGAGCUUUUGGCUGUAUAAAAUAUCGGUGUAAGUAAAUGAAACUAAAUUGGCCUAUUUAAAAAACAAAUAGGAUGAGCUUUUGUGCCCUAAGUUUAUUUAAACAAGAAAAUAAAGAUUGGAAUAUAAAAAGACUGCCUUUUAAGGUGGUAGGUUCUUUUCCUUUUCAGUUUUUACAAUAGAGAUUCUGGUCUUGUAACGAUGAAAUGGAGAGCUGCAGGAUUAUGAAACAACUAAACACGAAGGGCAAAUCUGACUGGAAGAGACAGAGAUAUUAUUGCAAUUAUCUGAAACUUAGCUGGGUUAGUUCCUUCACUAACCUAAAUCAAUGCAGUUCCUCUGAAAUCAAUAGGGUGAUACAGAUUCAUCCAAAACAUACCUGGCAUGUAAGAUAAUGCGUCACCUUCUGUUAGGACACGUAAACAUAAACACAUGUGGAGAGGACUCUUUUCUAUAUAUCUCCUUAACCUUUAAAUACUCGAAACCGUACUUUUAGGAGAGGCAUUUAUGUACUUCUGCUAUUUUACUCCUAUAUCUCUGUUGGUAUGAAUCUCGUGUGGUCAUUUACACUAAAAUAAAGUCAGGUCCAAACGCUGACUUCAGUCCUCAGUGCUCCGUACUUAUCUGUGCUGCUGCAAAUCACCAGGAAGGGCUCAAGAUGGCAGGGAGCCGGGGCCUUGCUGGCUGCUGUCUUCCUCCCGUGAAAAUCACCGAGCGCUCCCACUGCUCAUUUCUGAAUCACCCAAGGCGUCCUGCAACAACAGAAGGGAACCAAGACUUCACAAUCCUCAUCCUCACCGAUGGGAGAGCAGGGCCUCUCCAGUGUAUUCACAGCUUUUCCUACAAUAAUGCUUCUGGUCGCAGAGAAAUUUUUAUCUCUGAAAAACAUCUCCCCACAGAACCGUGACAUCUUGUCACGUGACUCUGAAGUAGAGCAAGGGUUGCAGCAGACUUCAACUUUCAGUCCUACAUUGCUUGUUCAAGAAAGGUCUAGAGAAGAAAGUCCUAAAUAGCAUGGUGAAUUAAAAAAAAAAAAAAAAAAAAGAUAAUUGCAGGAGUAUCAUCACAGAAUGGCCUGGGUUGAAAAGGACCACAAAGAUCAUCCAGUUUCAACCCCCUGCUAUGUGCAGGGUCGCCAACCACCAGACCAGGCUGCCCAGAGCCACAUCCAGCCUGGCCUUGAAUGUCUCCAGGAAUGGGGCAUCCACAACCUCCUUGGGCAACCUGUUCCAGUGUGUCACCGCUCUUUGUGUGGAAAAACUUCUUCCUAAUAUCCAACCUAAACCUCCCCUGUCUCAGUUUAAAACCAUUCCCCCUUAUCCUAUCACUGUCCACCCUUGUAAACAGCCGCUCCCCUUCCUGUUUUUACUCUCCCUUCAAGUACUGGAAGGCCACAGUGAGGUCUCCCCAGAGCCUUCUCUUCUCCAAACUAAACAAGCCCAGUUCCCUUAACAUUUCCUCAUAGGAGAGGUGCUCCAGCCCUCUGAUCAUCUUAGUGGCCCUCCUCUGGGCCCGCUCCAAGAGUAGUAAGUCAAUAGCUGAAAAGUGAUGUGAAAAAGAAGGCAGCUAGAAGAAAUAAAGGAUUUCUUAAAACCACUCCCACCCAGCAAUGCUGUUUCUUGUAUCUUUAGUUUCAUCUGCUUCUCGAAGUCUAUCUUGCCAAAUAUGCCUACCUUUCAAAAUUACUCCAGCUUCGGAAUGAAAGUGUCAGCAGUUGCAAGACUCUUGAGGGUAUGAUUAUCUUAUUUCCUGUCUGUCUAUUACAUUUAAACAUCUGCCAAACUGGAAAGGUCAUUUUUCUACUAUGACUCUGGAGUACACUUAAUGAGACUCUUGUUACUGACUGACCUCUUGUACCUGGAGAGAUUAAACAUCUUGGACAAGUUUUCAUUGCUUGAAUCUGUGCCAAAUCCUUUUAAUGCGUG